GUUCAGAUGGCUCGGUCGGUUGAGCAUGAGACUCUCAAUCUCAGAGCUGUUGGUUCAAGCCCCCCAUUGGGCA